rnacentral:lncRNA from 1 species
AGCUUUCAACCAUAGUAUUUGUGUAUAUGUUUGUUUCAAACAAAGUGUCACGCAUUGUACGAAUACAAUUAUUCAAUUAAAACGAGUUCAACAUCAUUUGUAGGGAAGAAAACGGACCUGCGUCCGCCCCAACACACGUUUAAGAAUUGGUGGUUGAAAUGUUAAUAAAGGAUAUACUUCAUUUUUAAGUACUGAGAAUAAUAUAUGGAGUAACUCCGGAUGUGUUCAGUUUUAAGUAUGCGGGAUCACUCAGUAAAGCAAAAAUAAAACACGUAUUGUCAGAAGUAAAAAGGGUUUAUGGUAAUAAGUAUUUCCUGCCUAUAGACUACUGACAAAGCUUUUCGGUGUUUACUUUUAUGCAGCUGCUUAAUUUAACUACGACUACACAGCCAUCCGGUAUAGCCGCGAACGACAAGAAGAAGAAGAAUUUACCAUUUAAAAAAAAAAAUGUAACCCUAUACUUACAGUAGUAGAAACUCUUUAAAAAGCCGAGCUAAAAUGUGUACCACAACACUACGUACCUGAACAAUAUCAUAUGAAUUUAUUUCAAAAAUGCUACUCCUAGAUCAGCAACUGCUGAAAUAAAGAAAAAAGUCGCUUCGAAAUCUUUCAUUCCGGCUCAACUUAAUAUAAGUAAAAUAGUAAAUAAAACAUCAUAUUAACAAAUUGUCAAGUUAUCAUCUUUCACGAAAUCAUUCGAAAUAAAAAAAUCAUUUUGUGAUGUUGCAUAAGCCUGUGCCCGUAUUCCUCAGUCUGUCUAAAACUCAGGAUACACAUACUUACUUUGCUAUGACUUUUUAUAGCAUAAUAAUACUGAUGGAAUUUUGCUUAGCUGUUUAUUUAUGAGGAAUAUGUAAGUGUAAAUGUUAGUCGAACACGGAGCCAAAAUGUAUGUAUUUUAAAUGUUCGAAAAGUACACUGUAUAAACGACAGUAAGCAAAUGCAUUUAAGUAUCUUAUAACAGGGUUGGCAUUAAAACGGGAAAUACUCACAUUUCCCAGGACGGCGGGGAAAUACAGGGAAUACCAGGGAAAUACUGGGAAAUAUUAUUCAAACAAAUACGUUUUUUCGUUUAGAUAAGCUAUACAGCCUAGAUUAUUUUUAUAAUUCUUUAUACCAAUUCAAUUAAGGUGAGAAGUCGAUGACAUAAUACACUAAUAAGCUGGUCGGGAACAGUGGUAAUAAUACACAAUGCAUUGCAUCUGGUACUGCCUGAUUGACCAUAUCACAUGUUACAAACAACUUAAUAGCACAUGUUUGUAUUACUUCAGUAAUUCAUAACAAAAUUCAUGUUUCUGACAAAUUUCCACUAGGUAUAAUAAAUGUCUCACCAGCCCAUUGUUGACAUCUAUACAUAUUUUAUUAGCAUUUGGAUAUAGCGCAGUGUGUCUGAAAAUUGUGUCCGCUGACUGCUAUUAUAACUAUUAUAACAUUCUUACACUUCUUCUUUUUUAUAGCCUAGUAUACUUUUUAUAUUAAUACUGUUUACUACUAUUUAUCAUGGUGGGUUGUAAAAGCGUAUAAGUGCUUAUGUUCAUCAGUUCUAGUUGUGUUGACCCAAAAUAAAUACUGCAUUAUUAUGGUAAUUUUAACCGAGAUGAAAUCAAUUCAAGAAAACACGAAAUUCACCCUUAACAUUUAUUUAAAUACAUGUAAGUCUUGUACAACUAAUGAAAUCCAAAUACACAGUUUUGAUUAAGACAUAAUUUUGUCAUUUGACACACACACAAAGACAUAUAUAGGUUCUGCACGAAAUGUUUUUAGAUAACUGCGAGUCUUAUGAUGGCCGAACUAUGUAAUAUCGAGUCUGUUUUCUCAGAAGUAAACUAUGUUAUCUAUAUCUGCUAAGUAUUUGUAAACUAUGUUAUAUAUAUCUGCUAAGUACUUGUACGUUACUUUUCUCAUGUAUGUUUUAAUUUAAAUGUUAAUUUUCUCUCAGAUAUUUGUUCUUUUUGUCACAAUAAACAACAUUUUCUUUUCAAAUUGGAGUCACUUUUGCAAUAUUCUCUACUAUUUCACACUUUUUGCAAUUUAAAUAUUUUCCAGGACGUCAAGGUAAAUACCGCCGGAAAUUCCCAUCCCUGAGAGAUACCGGCCAACCCUGUCUUAUAACAGAUCUGAACUUGAAAUCAUUCCCAUUUCUUUCUUUCAUGUAAAAUUCGGUCACUUCAGUACUUUCUUUAUAAACCUACUUUCCGCAAUACAUCUUUAUUUUAUUUGUUACACAAAAUCUAAACAGAAAGUUAACUUCAAAAUUGUGGAGUGAAACUGUAGCUAGUGGCUCAUAAAUCAGCUUUAAAAUUGUCAAAAGGAAAACAUUCAACUUCAGUUUCGAAGUUUAGAACUGUGAAAUGUUCUGUUAAAAAUACCUUCGGCAAAAAGUAUGAAAACCAUGAAAAUUUGUCCUCUUAGCCAUCGGACCAUUAC